UUUUUUUUUUUUUUUUUUCAUUUCUGUUCGAGUAAUAAAUAUCUUGAAUUUUUCAUUCUUCAAAGUGAAAAAAUCAUCGGCCCAUAAGCAACUGUACUAGCAAAAUCCUCCUACUUUGGGCCCUGGGAACUGAAGAUAAUCUGGAAAAUCCUCCUACCUUGAUCACCCUAACAACUGUUGUAGUGUUCCAAAUCCAAUCCAUUCACAUUCAAGGAGAAGAGAAGAUUCGAGAAAAAAAAGGGAGAAGAUUGUAUAUAAUCUAAGGAACAUAUCUAAUCCAAAUAUCCAUCAAGUUGUAUACAACACCUAAAUGGUGCACAUGCAUAUAGUACCCACUGCAAUCUCUCCUUUAAGCAUAUAUCAUCUAACAUCCUACGACCAAAUUCAAACAUUUGUACAUCUCAUACAGAGAUGCCAACUUAUUUACAAAGAUAAAAACUGCCAGAAAAAAGAAAAAAAAAACCCAUAAAUUAAUAUAGAUCUAUCAUAUCACCAUGGUAGAUAGCUCUCAAAAUUGGUUCAAGAACUUGCGUAUCCCCUUCAUAAAUCCACCCUCAUGCUCAUGUUCUCUCUCUUCUCCUUCCUCCCCCUCCUCGUGAUCGUGGUGAUGGUGAUGGUGGUGAUGGUGGGGCUUCCCGAUCAUCUCCUCUCUCCUUGACUCGUCGUUGAUGAAUGAGAAUCUGUUCCCACCAUGGUUAAACCUGGCCCAUCUCGCUGGGAUCCGACGAGGCCCGUUGCUAGACACUGCAUCAAAGCCUAGAUCCUCAUUGCCAGAAAGAAUCAUGUCGUUGCCGUAAGAAAUCUCCCGCGGGCCGCUAAAGCGUGGACGGCCCCAUGGCUUAAACUGGUUGUGGCGGCCAUGGCAUCGAUGGCCGCGAUGAAAUGGGAUCAAUGGACGUCGAGGGAAGUGGCGGUUGACGGGACGGAAAGUGAUAACCGUGAAUGGCACCGUCUCAACUGUCUCGGUCUCUGAUCUUUCCUGGAUCGAGUCGGAUGUGCCGAUUUCCUUUUCUGGUAAUUUAGAUUCGGUGUUUUCAGUUUCUUCCGACUCAAGCUCCACAACCUUUGCUGGUUCGGAUUCAGAUUUCUCACUAGGGAGGAUGAUGGUGGCAGUUGCCUUGGGAUCAGACUCGGGCAAGUCAGCUAAACGAUCAUCACGUCUGGUAACGUAAUUUUCAGGCCGAUCCAACGGAGCACGAGCGUGAGCGAAGGUAAGAAAGAAUAAGAAAGCAGUGAAGGCGACCGUGAGGGUGAGAAUUCGGGCCAUCGUAAAAUGAAGGAUUAAGUAAUUGAAAAAACGAAGGCGGUUGUGAGUUUGUUAUAUAGGACAAGGAGGAGAGGGAAGAACGUUGGUGGGAAGGUUUGACUGGUAGAAUGCUGAAAUACCGGCAUCGGGCAAAUGCGACCCCGACCACGUGGCUUAUUAAGCUUUGGCAUUUGGGUCCUCAUUAGCGUGUACGACAAAAUUUGUGUCUUCUGUUGG
rnacentral:misc_RNA from 1 species